GAUGAACGCUGGCGGCAGGCUUAACACAUGCAAGUCGAGCGGAGCGGCCGACGGGUAAGUAUUGCCUAGGCAUCUGCCUGGUACCGGUGGAUAACGUCCGGCAACGGGCGCUAAUACCGCAUACUAUCACAUGAGCCUUGGUCGGAUUAGCUAGUUGGGGGGGGAAAGGCCUACGAAGGCGACGAUGCUUAACUGGUCUGAGAGGAUGAUCAGUCACACUGGAACUGAGACACGGUCCAAACUCCUACGGGAGGCAGCAGUGGGGAAUAUUCGACAAUGGGCGAAAGCCUGAGCCAGCCAUGCCGCGUGUGUGAAGAAGGUCUUCGGAUUGUAAAGCACUUUAAGUUGGGAGGCGUUACCAACAGAAUAAGCACCGGCUAACUUCGUGCCAGCAGCCGCGGUAAUUC
rnacentral:rRNA from 1 species